UCACUUGUGAAGUGUAUAAUUGUUUGUAUUAAUAUUAUUAAAAUUUAAUAACAAAAGUAAAGCAUCUAAUGAAUGUCUUACCCUUUGAUGAUGACAAUGACCAUACCACUACCAUGACACGUUCCCCUUGUCCUCACUUCCCUUCCUUUGUGACUUCUAAUGGAUCUCACACAAGAGAAAUGGACUACAACAAGAACAGAUGUGUGGCUAGAAAGUUAUCAUCUAUCUAGCUACUGUUGUCUACAAUUUUAUCAUUUCCUGUUUUCUCACUUCUGGGAAUCCCAGACAUCCUUCUAGAACUUCCUGUGCCAUCAAUACUGAACAUGUGACAUUCUAGGCAACUUCACUCCUGACAUCUUUUUAUGAGAACAAUGUUUUUGAAGAUUCUAAGCUCUGGAAGAAUAAGCGUGGAUUAUGACAAAAAUUUCUCAGGGUGCUGGCAGGUGGCCCAAUGCCACGCAUCUGGAAACCUACCCUGGACAUGUGGUGUUUCCUCCACUUACAGAGACCUGAGGGUGAGGAAAGAGAAAGUUUCCCAUUUCAAAGCUACAGAUCUUCCUUCUUUGAUACCCAAGCCUGAGUCCCAGAUCUCAUUGUCCUUUCUUUGUUUCAGCAGAAGCUUAAAAGAGUCUUUUGAUAUACAAAGGCAGGCCCAAUACAAGUGCAAAAUGAAAAGCCCAAUUUCUCUGCAUAAUAAAGUAAAGAGAAUUGAUGGUCACCUGAAAUAAGGUAAAAGUGGUAUUAAGAGGGUAACUGAAACAGGAGUGGAAGGGGCAGAAAUGACCACGGAACAUGUAAGUCCCAGAGGAACUGGAUAAUAGAACCAAUUUGAUUUAAAUUGCAAAAAAGCGAGGUGACCUUAGCUACCAUUUGGGUUAUGCAAUUCACCUCUCUUAACAGAACAUGCAGGCUGAGCACAACUUUCUCUCCACAGAAUAAACGUUGGGAACUGAGUCA
rnacentral:lncRNA from 1 species